rnacentral:lncRNA from 1 species
GUAGAAGCUUGGAGCUCUUUGAACAUUACAUCACAUUCAUUAAAUGUUGAUUCAGAUGUUAAGUGAGUAAUCUUGUCAUAGACAAACUCCCAUGUACAGCUUGACUUUCCGGAUGUAAUCCUCUGGUGACUACUCAAGAAUCUAUUCAGAUUAAAUCCUGCUUAUAUAUUCAGUACUUGGCUAUCAUCUUUAAUAUAUUUCUCAUCCAUUCCCUGGGAAACAAGUCUACUCCUAUUACCAAUGAAGCAAUUGAGACAUAAAAGAAGAGUUAAGAAACCCAAUCAAUCUCAAAGACAACAAUACAUACUAGAACCUCUUUCUUUAUAGUUAAGAUUACAUCUGUGAUUGCAUUCCUGAGAGUUCCAGCUUUUUUGAUAUACUAUAUACAACUCCGGUCCUGUUGUCAUCCUACAAGCCCUUCAUUAAGGAAAUAAAUGCCUGAGUGACAAUGAUAAAAUGUAAGAA